GAUUAAGUUAUUAAGGGCGCACGGUGGAUGCCUUGGCACUAGAAGCCGAUGAAGGACGUUACUAACGACGAUAUGCUUUGGGGAGCUGUAAGUAAGCUUUGAUCCAGAGAUUUCCGAAUGGGGAAACCCAGCAUGAGUUAUGUCAUGUUAUCGAUAUGUGAAUACAUAGCAUAUCAGAAGGCACACCCGGAGAACUGAAACAUCUUAGUACCCGGAGGAAGAGAAAGAAAAUUCGAUUCCCUUAGUAGCGGCGAGCGAAACGGGAAGAGCCCAAACCAACAAGCUUGCUUGUUGGGGUUGUAGGACACUCUAUACGGAGUUACAAAGGACGACAUUAGACGAAUCAUCUGGAAAGAUGAAUCAAAGAAGGUAAUAAUCCUGUAGUCGAAAAUGUUGUCUCUCUUGAGUGGAUCCUGAGUACGACGGAGCACGUGAAAUUCCGUCGGAAUCUGGGAGGACCAUCUCCUAAGGCUAAAUACUCUCUAGUGACCGAUAGUGAACCAGUACCGUGAGGGAAAGGUGAAAAGCACCCCGGAAGGGGAGUGAAAUAGAACCUGAAACCGUGUGCUUACAAGUAGUCAGAGCCCGUUAAUGGGUGAUGGCGUGCCUUUUGUAGAAUGAACCGGCGAGUUACGAUUUGAUGCAAGGUUAAGCAGUAAAUGUGGAGCCGUAGCGAAAGCGAGUCUGAAUAGGGCGUUUAGUAUUUGGUCGUAGACCCGAAACCAGGUGAUCUACCCUUGGUCAGGUUGAAGUUCAGGUAACACUGAAUGGAGGACCGAACCGACUUACGUUGAAAAGUGAGCGGAUGAACUGAGGGUAGCGGAGAAAUUCCAAUCGAACCUGGAGAUAGCUGGUUCUCUCCGAAAUAGCUUUAGGGCUAGCCUCAAGUGAUGAUUAUUGGAGGUAGAGCACUGUUUGGACGAGGGGCCCCUCUCGGGUUACCGAAUUCAGACAAACUCCGAAUGCCAAUUAAUUUAACUUGGGAGUCAGAACAUGGGUGAUAAGGUCCGUGUUCGAAAGGGAAACAGCCCAGACCACCAGCUAAGGUCCCAAAAUAUAUGUUAAGUGGAAAAGGAUGUGGCGUUGCCCAGACAACUAGGAUGUUGGCUUAGAAGCAGCCAUCAUUUAAAGAGUGCGUAAUAGCUCACUAGUCGAGUGACACUGCGCCGAAAAUGUACCGGGGCUAAACAUAUUACCGAAGCUGUGGAUUGUCCUUUGGACAAUGGUAGGAGAGCGUUCUAAGGGCGUUGAAGCAUGAUCGUAAGGACAUGUGGAGCGCUUAGAAGUGAGAAUGCCGGUGUGAGUAGCGAAAGACGGGUGAGAAUCCCGUCCACCGAUUGACUAAGGUUUCCAGAGGAAGGCUCGUCCGCUCUGGGUUAGUCGGGUCCUAAGCUGAGGCCGACAGGCGUAGGCGAUGGAUAACAGGUUGAUAUUCCUGUACCACCUAUAAUCGUUUUAAUCGAUGGGGGGACGCAGUAGGAUAGGCGAAGCGUGCGAUUGGAUUGCACGUCUAAGCAGUAAGGCUGAGUAUUAGGCAAAUCCGGUACUCNNNNNNNNNNNNNNNNNNNNNNNNNNNNNNNNNNNNNNNNNNNNNNNNNNNNNNNNNNNNNNNNNNNNNNNNNNNNNNNNNNNNNNNNNNNNNGUACUCAUUAAGGCUGAGCUGUGAUGGGGAGAAGACAUUGUGUCUUCGAGUCGUUGAUUUCACACUGCCGAGAAAAGCCUCUAGAUAGAAAAUAGGUGCCCGUACCGCAAACCGACACAGGUAGUCAAGAUGAGAAUUCUAAGGUGAGCGAGCGAACUCUCGUUAAGGAACUCGGCAAAAUGACCCCGUAACUUCGGGAGAAGGGGUGCUCUUUAGGGUUAACGCCCAGAAGAGCCGCAGUGAAUAGGCCCAAGCGACUGUUUAUCAAAAACACAGGUCUCUGCUAAACCGUAAGGUGAUGUAUAGGGGCUGACGCCUGCCCGGUGCUGGAAGGUUAAGAGGAGUGGUUAGCUUCUGCGAAGCUACGAAUCGAAGCCCCAGUAAACGGCGGCCGUAACUAUAACGGUCCUAAGGUAGCGAAAUUCCUUGUCGGGUAAGUUCCGACCCGCACGAAAGGCGUAACGAUUUGGGCACUGUCUCAACGAGAGACUCGGUGAAAUCAUAGUACCUGUGAAGAUGCAGGUUACCCGCGACAGGACGGAAAGACCCCGUGGAGCUUUACUGUAGCCUGAUAUUGAAAUUCGGCACAGCUUGUACAGGAUAGGUAGGAGCCUUUGAAACGUGAGCGCUAGCUUACGUGGAGGCGCUGGUGGGAUACUACCCUAGCUGUGUUGGCUUUCUAACCCGCACCACUUAUCGUGGUGGGAGACAGUGUCAGGCGGGCAGUUUGACUGGGGCGGUCGCCUCCUAAAAGGUAACGGAGGCGCUCAAAGGUUCCCUCAGAAUGGUUGGAAAUCAUUCAUAGAGUGUAAAGGCAUAAGGGAGCUUGACUGCGAGACCUACAAGUCGAGCAGGGUCGAAAGACGGACUUAGUGAUCCGGUGGUUCCGCAUGGAAGGGCCAUCGCUCAACGGAUAAAAGCUACCCCGGGGAUAACAGGCUUAUCUCCCCCAAGAGUUCACAUCGACGGGGAGGUUUGGCACCUCGAUGUCGGCUCAUCGCAUCCUGGGGCUGUAGUCGGUCCCAAGGGUUGGGCUGUUCGCCCAUUAAAGCGGUACGCGAGCUGGGUUCAGAACGUCGUGAGACAGUUCGGUCCCUAUCCGUCGUGGGCGUAGGAAAUUUGAGAGGAGCUGUCCUUAGUACGAGAGGACCGGGAUGGACAUACCUCUGGUGUACCAGUUGUCGUGCCAACGGCAUAGCUGGGUAGCUAUGUGUGGACGGGAUAAGUGCUGAAAGCAUCUAAGCAUGAAGCCCCCCUCAAGAUGAGAUUUCCCAACUUCGGUUAUAAGAUCCCUCAAAGAUGAUGAGGUUAAUAGGUUCGAGGUGGAAGCAUGGUGACAUGUGGAGCUGACGAAUACUAAUCGAUCGAAGACUUAAUCAA
rnacentral:rRNA from 1 species